rnacentral:rRNA from 1 species
GACGAACGCUGGCGGCGUGCUUAACACAUGCAAGUCGAACGGAAAGUCCCGGCCUUUGUGCGCUGCUCGAGGGGCGAACGGGGAAGUAACACGUGAGUAACCUACCCUUCACUGUGGGGGAACUUCAUGCAACUUAGGCUAAUACCGGAUAGGAGCUACCGCUGCAGGGUGGGGGUGGGAUAGUUUCGUCGGUUGGGGAUGGACUCGCGUUGGAUUAGCUUGUUGGUAGGGUAGUAGCAUAGCAAGGCUUGGAACCAUAGCUGGGAGGGGAGGAUGAUCAGCCACACUGGGACUGAGACACGGCCCAGACUCCUACGGGAGGCAGCGGUGGGGAAUAUUGGACAAGGGGCGAAAGCCUGAUCCAGCAAUGCCGCGUGAGUGAUGAAGGCCUUAGGGUUGUAAAGCUCUUUUACCCGGGAUGAUAAUGACAGUACCGGGAGAAGAAGCUCCGGCUAACUCCGUG